GCAGUAGCCGCGGGAAUACGUAGGUGGCGAGCGUUGUCCGGAAUUAUUGGGCGUAAAGGGAGCGCAGGCGGGCGAGUAAGUCUUUCUUAAAAGUGCGGGGCUCAACCCCGUGAGGGGAGAGAAACUACUCAUCUUGAGUGCAGGAGAGGAAAGCGGAAUUCCUAGUGUAGCGGUGAAAUGCGUAGAUAUUAGGAAGAACACCAGUGGCGAAGGCGGCUUUCUGGACUGUAACUGACGCUGAGGCUCGAAAGCCAGGGGAGCGAACGGGAUUAGAUACCCGCGUAGUCCCUGUCUCUUAUACC
rnacentral:rRNA from 1 species